UUCUAAACGACUGUACCAUGCUGUGCAUGUAUAUAAACUUAUUCGAUUUAACAUCGAAUUGAAAAAUCUACUUUAAAGUGAGUUUAAACUACCUUCAACUGUUGUAAGUGGCAGUACAAAGGGAAAAUCUGAAAUCAACUAGAUUUGAAGACAUACUUAAACUUUCCGAACAGUUUCUGAAAUGCGCGUUAUUGAAACUAUAUUAUUAUUUUUGUGUAUUUUCAAGAUUCUUCUAGCAGCACCGUACAUUGGUAUUGACAUGGACGAUGAUAAGAAUAUGGUGUUCAGAUACAGCCUCAUACCAGGGUUGGCCCGUCGUAGUGGCGCUACGAGGGAAUUUGGACACCACGUGGAUAACGAAUCUUCUCCAGGAUUAAGGAUAAACUUGCAGGAUACUUUGCCCGCAAUGAAUUUUGCGGUUGUAUAAAAAUUAAUAAAGGAAAAAAAAAUGUAAACUAUUAUA